CUCUGCUUCAAUUCCUCACUAAUUACAUACCUCAAACCUAAGUUUCUUUGUCCUGUCAUUCCUCACAAAUUUAUCGUUUCUUCGCAUAGAAGAUAUACAUACUGCCUGCUGUGUUCCCUCGCCAAGCGUCAUUGCUCUAUGAUCUCCAAUACGUUGCUGAGACAGCGGGAUAGGGGCAAAACGAAUGGAAACUCUGGAAAGUCUCCACAAUCAACUGAAAAGCUGGGUAAAGAGAGGAGAAACAUCAGAGCAC
rnacentral:lncRNA from 1 species